AACAAAGCCACUAGUUUUUAUUUUUUUAUUUUUUGCAGCAGAUACCAUAGUAAAAGAAAUGUUAGAAGCCUGGUAUUAUUUAAUCAUGACAUAUUAUGUAUUGUUUUUGUUAGGUACACUAUCCCAUCCAUACUCACGGCAGGGUGUUGCCACCUGUGCUCCUGACAUGUUUGAAAAAAUGUGUCAGGUCUUUUCACAAACAAAAUGAAAUAGAGGUGAAGAAGCUAAAAGUAACCACCAGAACAACACCAGAAGCGGAAUGUAUUCGCCAAGUAGAAAUUUUUUUGUCCAACGCCAACACCAGGCUGAAAAGGAAACCAAAUAAAGGAAAAAGCUGACUUUUUGUUUGAUUGUUUUUAUUGAUGGAAAUAAAGAAUGUGGGUGUAAAAGUUUGAGUAAACUGAAUAUUUUUAGAUAACAGUGAACUAACACAAUUAUUGCAUAGUGGUGUUAUAUGGUGAUCUCACAGUAUGAGCACACAGUGAGUGCGCAGUGACCUCACAGUGAUCACAGUAUGAGCACACAGUGAUCACAGUAUGAGCACACAGUGACCACAGUAUGAGCACACAGUGAGUGCGCAGUGACCUCACAGUGAUCACAGUAUGAGCACACAGUGACCACAGUAUGAGCACACAGUGAUCACAGUAUGAGCACACAGUGAGUGCGCGGUGACAGUCACAGUGAUCACAGUAUGAGCACACAGUGAUCACAGUAUGAGCACACAGUGAGUGUGAUGUGACCUCAUAUUUCCACCACAGUAUGAGUGCACUGUGAUUGUGCAGUGACCUCAUGUUGUGAACAAAGUAUGAGCACACAGUGAGAGCUCUGUGUGGUUACACUUUUAGUUCACUGUGACACUCACAUUAUGACCGCACUAUGAGAAUAUUGUGAGCUCAUAGUGACAUCAGUGUGAGAUCAAAUUGUUGACUGGGUAAGUUAUUUGUAGGGCUAUACAUCUGUACAGUAAGAUUUCAUUAAUGUUAGCUAAUGUAACUAACAUGAACGUACAAUGAACAAUACAUUUAUUACAGCAUUUAUUCAUAUUUGUUAAU
rnacentral:lncRNA from 1 species